UUUAAAUGGAGACCGGAACAAAAGAUUAAACGUUUAAAUUUAUCUUUAUAUUUAACCUAUUUCAAAUUAUCUUAAAUGUAAAAAGACUUUUAUAUAAAAGAAAGACGACAAGACCCUAUUGAACUUAACUAUAGUUUAACUGGGGCAGUUUAUUAAUAAUUAUUUUAAUUUAUUUUAUUUAUUAAAAAUCCAAUAUAAUUGAUAUAAUCAAGUUACCAUAGGGAUAACAGUGUAAUAAUUUUCUAAAGCUCUUAUUGAAAUAAUAGAUUACAACCUCGAUGUUGAAUUAAUAACCUACCUUUACGCAAUAGUAAGUUAAAGGAAGUCUGUUCGACUUUUAAAAAAUUACAUGAUUUGAGUUCAGACCGGUAUAAGCCAGGUCGGUUUCYAUCUUCUAAAUAAUUCUUACAGUACGAAAGGGCCUAAGAAACUAA
rnacentral:rRNA from 1 species